AGUGCAGUGGCGGGAUCUCGGCUCAUUGCAACCUCCGCCUCCCGGGUUCAAGUGAUUCUCCUGCCUCAGUCUCCCAAAGUGCUGAGAUUACAGGCAUGUGCCACCACGCUCGGCUAAUUUUGUAUUUUUAGUAGAGACGGGGUUUCACCAUGUUGGUCAGGCUGGUCUCGAACUCCUGACCUCAGGUGAUCCACCCGCCUCGGCCUCCCAGAGUGCUGGGAUUACAGGUGUGAGCCACCGUGCCCAGCCGGGUCCGCCUUCAAUUUUCAAAACCACACAUUUAUGGAUAAUGCAGCACUCGGGAGAGGGAUGACUCUGGGUACACUAUUGUGGGUAUUUUUUGUGUGUGUGUGUGUUUUUUCUGGAGACAGAGUCUUGGGAUGAUACUGUGUCUGGUGACCCCCAGGGCCUGGGGGUCUUUUGUGAACUGCUCCGCCUCCGUAAUCCAGCUAUCACAGUCUUUGAAGAAAGAUCAAUAAUUAACCAAUUGCAAAACGCAGCGGAAUUCGAUUCCUGGCGCUCCUGUAACAAAGAACUACCAGGAGGGUGGCCCCUACCAGGAGGGUGGCCCAAAGCAACAGGAACAUAUCCUUUCCCCAUCCUGGAGGCCAGAAGUCUGAGGUGCAGGUGUCUCAGGGCCGCGCUCCCUCCAGAGGCUCUAGGGGAGGGUCCUUCCUGCCUCUCCCAGCUCCUGGGGGCUCCAGGCGUCCCUGGGCUUGUGGCUGCGUCACUCCAGUCUCUGCCUCCGUCUCCACGUGGCCUUCUCCUCUGUGUCUGUGUCUCUUCUUCUGUCUCUUAGAAGGAUACCUGUCAUUGCAUUUAGGGCCCACCCUAAUCCAGGAUGAUCUCAUCUCAAGCUCCUUGAGUUAAUUAUAUCUGCAAAGACCCUAUUUUCUUUUCUUUCUUUCUUUUUUUUUUUUUUUGAGACAGAGUCUCACUCUGUCGCCGAGGCUGGAGUGCAGUGGCACAAUCUCGGCUCACUGCAACCUCCGUCUCCUGAGUUCAAACAAUUCUUCUGCUUCAGCCUCCUGAAUGGCAGGGAUUACAGGCAUGCACGACCACAUCCAGCUAAUUUUUGUAUUUUUAGUAGAGACGGGGGUUUCACCAUGUUGGCCAAGCUGGUCUCGAACUCCUGACCUCAGGUGAUCCACCCGCCUGAGCCUCCCAAAGUGCUGGGAUGACAGGUGUGAGCCACCUCACCUGGCCCUAUUUUGUUUUUAUUUUUUGCAAGGAAGGAAUGAAGGGAUUUACUGAAAAUGGAAGUACCCUCCACAGCGUGGGAGGAGACUGAGAAGAGGAGCUCAAAGACUAAAGGGACCGGCUUUUAAAGACAUUUAAUUAAAAGGAAUUAAAUUUCCCUUAUGACAUUUAGAAAAAAAAAAAAUCAAGUCCAAAUGAUACAAAAUGGUCAGCUUGCUUUGUGCCUUGGCGGCCGCAUAUGGAACAUCAUUAGAAUAGAACCGGAAGCGUCUAGAUUUUCACUUUUCACCCUGAAAGAUGAAACAGAGAUGAAAGCAGUCACCAAUUUUCUCUAAUUAUUUUGCAAUUAAGCGUCCGAGCACCCCAGGUAGCGUGGACUCCCACAGCUCUUAAACCAAAUACCUGUCUGUCUGAAAUUAAUUAUAAAAAUGGAUCAAGGGGUGGUUUUCACGUGGUGGCUGAUGAAUGCUUUCCAAGUCUUGUUUUCCUGUUCGUUUACCGUGGUACGUAAGAAGUACAGAACAUAAAAUUCACCGUGUGAGCCAUUUUUGUUUGUUUGUUUGUUUUUGAGACGGAGUCUCGCUCUGUCGCCCAGGUUGGAGUGCAGUGGCGUGAUCUCAGCUCACUGCAAUCUCCGCCUCCCGGGUUCAAGCCAUUCUCCUGCCUCAGCCUCCUGAGUAGCUGGGACUACAGGCACCUGCCACCACGCCCGGCUAAUCGUUGUACUUUUAAUAGAGACGGGUUUUACCAUAUUGGCCAGGCUGGUCUCGAACCCCUGACUUCCUGAUCUGCCCACCUCGGCCUCCCAAAGUGCUGGGAUGACAGGCGUGAGCCACUGUGCCCGGCCGAGAAUUGGUAUUAUGUUUAGAGCAAAAUUAGGAAUACGCCUUUGUUCUCCAGAUAUUAGGAUACCUGGACACUCCCAAGUCUGGGUCUGUUUAGUAAAUACUUUUUUUUUUUUGAGAUGGAGUUUCACUCUUGUUGCCCAGGCUGGAGUGCAGUGGUGCGAUCUCAGCUCACCUCAACCUCUGCCUCCCGGGUUCAAGGAAUUCUCCUGCCUCAGCCUCCCGAGUAGCUGGGAUGACAGGUGCCCGCCACCACACCCGGCUCAUUUUGUAUUUUUUUAGUAGAGAUGGGGUUUCUCCGUGUUGGUCAGGCUGGCCUCGAACUGCCAACCUCAGGUGAUCCACCCGCCUCGGCCUCCCAAAGUGCUGGGAUUACAGGCGUGAGCCACCGUGCCAGUAAACAUUAUCAAUUUCUUCCUUUUUUUUUUUCUGAGAUGGAGUCUCACUCUGUCCCCAGGCUGGAGUGCAGUGGUGCGGUCUCGGCUCACUGCAACCUCCACCUCCCGGGUUCAAGUGAUUCUCCUGCCUCAGCCUCCUGAGUAGCUGCGAUUACAGGCACCUGCCACCACGCCCGGCUAAUUUUUGUGUUUUUAGUAGAGACGGGGUUUCACCAUGUUGGCCAGGCUGGUCUCGAACUCCUGACCUCAAGCGAUCCACCCGCCUCGGCCUCCCAAAGCGCUGGGAUUCCAGGCGUGAGCCACCGCGCCAGGCGUAAUUCCUUCCCUUAACCGUAAACGUCUACAGGCAAGGAAUGCUGAACUUUCUGAGAAGGCAGCCAGCAAGUUCCAGCCUCAUUCUCCAGCCGUCAGUCAAAGAUGGAGUCACGGUGGUUCAUUCGCCUCUGACAACGAGUCCUCCCGGACGCCACGUGGCUUGUUCUGAAGCCGGGCCGGAGACACCGUCUGGACCCCACCCUGCUCCCCAGGGCCGCCUCCAAAAGGAUCCCACCCCAGGGAGCCGUGCAAACACCAUAAAUCCUGCUAAUUGCCACGUUCCCGGCAGCCAGAAUCCGUGGUCUGUCUAUAGUGGCCUCACGGUCUCCAGCCAAGAGCUCAAUCUUGCUUCUGGACAAAUAUUACCGAGAAACGUCUGCAAACCCCGGGCGCCCGGCUCCCACAUCACAGGGGCUGCGUCUCAGAAAACAACUUGUUUCUGCCCAUCCACCCCCCACCGCCGCCUCCCCGGGCACCUCGCCACACAAGACGCUCUGGGCUUCCCGUAAAAACACCCGUGUCUGUGACCUGCGCGUGGGGUCACCUCCCCGGCCUACAUGCAAGACAGCACACAGGCCAGGACGUCAGGGUGUCGUGAGGGGCCGUCGGAGAACGUCUAAGGGACGUCCCUGCAUUCCUGGCUGGAGGUCCUGCGCCAGCGGCCUCCGUGUGAGAAAACUUUCGCUCUGCAAACUCUCAGAGCCCCCACCUGCUCCCGCCUCCCGUCUGUCCUGGUUCUUGGGACCCCGGAGCCUUCUCUGUCCAGACCUCCCAGGUCCUGACGGGAAUCCGGAUAAACUCAUUGGGGCGAAGGUGUUAACGGCAGGCCCCUGUCUAAUGUAUUUCGCCACCCAGAUAAAAUGAGUGUUUUCACA